rnacentral:rRNA from 1 species
GGACUACAGGGGUAUCUAAUCCCAUUCGCUCCCCUAGCUUUCGUUCCUCAGCGUCAGUAAUGGCCCAGCGAGUCGCUUGCGCCACCGGUGUUCUUCCCAAUAUCUACGCAUUUCACCGCUACACUGGGAAUUCCACUCGCCUCUACCAUACUCCAGUCUGGCAGUAUCCAAUGCACUCCCGGGGUUGAGCCCCGAUCUUUAACAUCAGACUUACCAAACCGCCUACGAACUCUUUACGCCCAAUAAAUCCGGACAACGCUCGCAUCCUACGUCUUACCGCGGCUGCUGGCAC